AAGUCGUAACAAGGUCUCCGUAGGUGAACCUGCGGAGGGAUCAUUACUGAGUGAGGGGCCCCCCGGCCCGACCUCCAACCCUUUGUAAACCGACCCUUUGCUCGGGACGGUCCGCGUCUUCGGUCGGCCGGGCCCCGGGUCCGGAGCCCCAACCCACUCUGCGUCUUUGCGUCUGAGUCUUGAAUGAUAAAUCAAUUAAAA
rnacentral:misc_RNA from 1 species